rnacentral:lncRNA from 1 species
UUUGUUGUCUCCGUUUCUCUAGGGAAUAGCAAUUUUAUAGUGGUUAGUCUAAUGAUUUAGGGAGUAUUUGCAGUUUUCCUAAAUUAAUGGAUAAAAAAUUAGAACGAUGUCCAUGUACCAUGAAAAGAAGUUUAUCAUACAUAAAUACAAAGUUAUAAUGUGGUUUUAAAUUUUAAAACAAAUUUAGAGAUUAUAGGCUUCAAAUAUAGAGCAUUUACCGAAAACUCACUAUUUUCGUAGGGGGGUACACAUAGAUUUUGAGAAAAAUUCAAAAAUUUUGAAAAUACUGUUUUAAUACAUAUUUGAAUCAUGUAAUAAUAUAUGAUGAAGUUCAAAUAGAUUUGGAACCUUUGUUGUCUCCGUUUCUCUAGGGAAUAGCAAUUUUAUAGUGGUUAGUCCAAUGAUUUAGGGAGUAUUUGCAGUAAAUUAAUGGAUAAAAAAUUAGAACGAUGUCCAUGUACCAUGAAAAGAAGUUUAUCAUACAUUAAUACAAAGGUAUAAUGUGGUUUUAAAUUUUAAAACAAAUUUAAAGAUUAUAGGCUUCAUAUAUAGAGCAUAUACCGAAAACUCACUAUUUUCGUAGGGGUUAACACAUAGAUUUUGAAAAAAAUCAAAAAAAUUGAAAAUACUAUUUUAAUACAUAUUUGAAUCAUGUAAUAAAAUAUGAUGAAGUUCAAAGAGGUUUGGAACCUUUGUUGUGUCCGUUUCUCUAGGAAAUAACAAUUUUAUAGUGGUUAGUCUAAUGAUUUAGGGAGUAUUUGCAGUUUUGCUAAAUUAAUGGAUAAAAAAUUAGAACGAUGUCCAUGUACCAUGAAAAGAAGUUUAUCAUACAUUAAUA